GCAUCGCGACCCCAGGUCAUGCGAGAUUACCCGCUGAGUU
rnacentral:rRNA from 1 species